CAUGGCUCAGAUUGAACGCUGGCGGCAGGCCUAACACAUGCAAGUCGAACGG
rnacentral:rRNA from 1 species